GUGCGCCAAGUCUAUGGCUUAGAAAGCCUCUUCACACCUGCAACUCUUAACUAAUGACCCUUUUUGUUUUCUCCUUUUUUGAUCUCCUGAGUAUGAGAGAGGAUGCUGAGACAGCAGACAGGCAGGUGACUUCUUGGGGGACUAACAAAACAUUUGCAUUUUUAGAAGCUUGUGAUUUCACUGGAGCCUUGCAUGUUUCUGUGUAUUAUUUAAACCUGAUUCUAAGUGUUUUCUCAAGUACUCGCAGGAAGUCGGUACAGCAUGAUGUCCGGGGGUGCCAGUACAAGUACUCUCAGCUGAGAAGACUGUUAUUUGGAUCAGGAGCACUGUGAAGGAGCAGAGGAAGGCUGCCUAAAGGGGCCUGAGAGCUCUCAAAUCCCAGAACUGGUCAGUCAAGCAAGCAUUUGAGGCAGACAAAUAAUUUCAUUUACUGAAUACAAAUAAUCUUCUUUUGAAUUUAUCUUUUUCUCUGCUUAUAACCCUUCUGUAAACUGAUCCUAAAUUGUGGGUGUGUUUUCAGUAUUCAAGAGUAGUAGAAAUAAACAUUCUUCCUCUUAUGUGUCAUUCAUAAAUUCCUAAAUUUCAUUAUUUGUUCAUUAUUCUGUUUGGGAGCCAUGUAAAAAUCUUUGCUCUUAGUAAGGGAGCUAAAAUAUUUCACACAGAAUACUGAGGCAGAGGGCACAAUCAAGUGUGCAACAAGCACUUCCAUUUGCACAAAUACCUAUACUUUUACUGAGAAAACCCAUUUUACAAACAGGUAUAAGGACAAAAAAUCUCUAUAGCUAAUAGCAAUAAGAAAGCUGCUAAUGUGGUUUGGCUGGAAAAUGUUCUGCAUUCAAAUGGAUGUUUGUGCUCACAAAUUUAUUGUUGUGUGAUUAAUGUAUAAGAUCCUAUGGGCAGAAUAAGUCAUAUUUGAAAUAAUCUGAAUGGAUUCAGUUUAAAGUCAUUUGCCAAUAACUUGUAAUCAGCAUAUAGUCUUUAACGAUGAUAUUGCUGAACUUUGCCCAUAAACCAAUAAGCAGUUUAAGACCUACUUAUAUUUCAUAAAUUAAACAUUAUCUGGAUAAAUACAUGUCAGUGCAGAAGCAUUUGUGUCUAGUAUCUUUUCCUUGGUUUAAAUGGGUUCAUCCAAUAUCAGCUAGGUAGUGAACUUUGAAGCAGAGUCCACUGUAAUAAUAGUAAAGCUUAAUGAUGCAUAGCUUUGUGAGACUGACAAAUUCCCAGCCAAAGUAUUGAUUCCCGGAGAAUUUAUGAAGCACAGGCUCUAUUCUAUGUCAUUACGGUCCAUUUUUGGCUGAAAGAAUCAUGUAAAAUAGAUUUUUAAAUGAGUGGUAAUAGCCAGACAUAAAGAAGGUAUUGAUGUGUGUCAUGAAGGGUGAAAUAGCAUGCCAGGUAAAGGCAUAUAACAAAUUGAAAACAACAGUGCUGAAACUCCUACAAAUGUAAAUUUGUUUUUAGUUUUAAUCAAACCUUUGUUUCUGUAAGUACAAAUUUUGCCACAGAACUGAAAAAAAAAACCCUACCCUUUUAAAAAAUGUAAUUAUUUACAGUUCGAUUUUAUGCUUCACUUUGGAAUGUGUCUAUAAAAUGCAUAUCUCACUUAGAGACAUGUUAAUCAAUAUGAAUUGUGUACUACAUUACAACAAAACUACAUCUGAGAUUAUUAGGGAAAAAUCAAAUGCACAUAGUUCUGCUUACUUGAGCAAUAUGUGAAAAUUAAUAGCUUGAGCCUCUGCAGAACUGGCUGAUAGAAGACAGGACACUUUUUUUAAAAAAAAAUAAGGAGAGUUUCAAUAAUACUAUCUGAGGUAUUUUCCGAUAAAGUAGAACCAAAUUACAGCACAGACAACACUUGAAAUGGGAAUAAAAUGAGAGUGCAGAGAAACAGACAAAAAGAUGGGGAAAGAGAAUUGUUGAUUGGAUUACCGGGGCUUUACAGAGAAGUAACACUGCAUUUUAAUUGCAUUCCAACAACCUCUUUUUGAUCUAAAAAGAGGUCACCUAGGACUAACAAUGCAAGGGACCUUCCUAGUCCAGACGUAAAUGUAUCUCCCACACACCCAGAAGUGCCCUGAGAAUUAGCUAAAUCCUCCUCAGAGCAGCUGCUUUUCAACAAUUCAGGAGUUUAUCAGCCAAAAAAAAAAAAAAAAAAAAAAAAAAAAAAAAAAAAGGAGCUGGCAGGAAAAAAGGCUGACAGUCUCAAUAGGCUCUUCUGUGGCCUAGUGGGGCUGAAGAACUCUUCAAGGCCUUAGUCAACACCAAACAGAGGGCUCUGAACUGGCACACUCAUCUGCACCACAAACAAGCAGCAAAGCCCGGAGAGAGGUCAUUCUUUGCAUAAAUGGUUUUCCCAGGCAGAACGCAGGCAGAUUCAAAGCAAGGAGGAUGAAUCCAGGUGCAAGGUUAGAACAAAAGGACUUUCAGGCUCCGAGAAACAGGGAAAAACUAAAGUUCCCACCUGUAAUAUAAUCUAAUACUAGACCUAUCUGCUUCUCUGUUCCAGUUCAAAUCCCUCUCUGUUUUGUUUUUCUGUAUGUUCAUUAGGGUUUAUAAAAGCAGUCAUCAUGUCUCAAAUGCAGCAUGUUUGUCUGAGGUCUAAAUUUCCAGCUCCUGUUUUCACAAGUUUCAAGAAUCAGUUUGGGUGUGCUGUAAGCAUGUAUGAUAGUGAUUUCACAGUCUUAUUUUUUGUUAUAUUUGUUAUUCAUUUUAAAGUUAAGUUUUCAUAGGCCAUCUCAUCUUAAUUCGUACUCUUUGCCAAUUACCAGUAUAAGACAGGCUUUUAAAGUUGCUGUAAUAUAACUUUCAUGUGUUAAUGUGCAAACGUAUAGUAUACCUAAGUGUACAUAGUUACUGUACCUGACUGCAGCAAAUCAACUUUACUAAAACAAACUGUCCUUUUAUCAACUACAUUAACUGCUGAAAAGGGUAAAAUAAGUCUAUUUAAUGGCAUAUUAAAUUCAGUAAAUAAGCUAUUCCACAAUUACUAGCUCACUUGAUGACAGGCGUCCAAAGAACCACCUUUGAUCACUGUCAAGGCCCCACAAAAUCAUAUGAACUAUGAUAAAUACCUAUAAUUAACAGCACAAAGUUAUUUCUGACCUACAGCAAAGGGAUGACAUCAUAUACAGCAGAAUUUUCAGGCUGUUUGCUUACUGGUCUGUGUGGUUCAUUUGUGCUUUAAGUUUUCUGGACUGAUUUUCUAAACUUCAUGCGUGCGUCUACAUGUACAAAAAGAAAUCUGUAGCAUAGUCUUAAUUUUCUUGUAUAAUUACUGCAAUUUGCACUUGCAGUUCUGCUACCUUUGCAAUGUUACUGUCCAGUUUUACACCUAACUGGUCCCAGGAAAAACAACUGAACACUCAAAUUAAAUGCACAGUACUGAGCUAGUUGUAUAUUCCUAGAUCUUUGUUGUCAGCAUAGCUUUACAACAUGUUUUGUAUUACAACAGGAAAUACUGUAGCUGGCAAAAUCAAAACCUAUUUCA